CCGCCGGGGGCAGUGGAGCAGACCCGCGCCAGCCGGGAGGAGGGGGUUGCAUCCCUCGGGUUGUGGCGGCGCGAACCGAAUCCGGACGGAGGCAGAUGUCGAGUGCUGGAACCUAGGCUGGGGGAUGCACGCUCCGGGCGCCCGGCGAGCCCUCUCCUCUUCGGCAAAGAGAAUGCUGCUCAGAAGUGCUCGUGUCCCCUCGCUGUAGGAGAGAUGACCAAACAGGUGGGCUCGCCGGGGAAAAGACUGCGUUAAGCUGUCGACUUGAAGUAAAAAGACCUGUUAUCCAUUAAGUGUCCCUUUCAUGGAUGAAGAG